AACGCUAGCUACAGGCUUAACACAUGCAGGUCGAGGGGCAGCAUAAAACUAAGCUUGCUAGUUUUGAUGGCGACCGGCGCACGGGUGAGUAACGCGUAUCCGACCUGCCCAUGACUCGGGCACAGCCGCUCGAAAGAGCGAUUGAUUCCCGAUAUGUCUUUGGAGUAGAUCCUUGGAUGAAAGAUUCAUCGGUCAUGGAUGGGGAUGCGUAGGAUUAGGUAGUAGGCGGGGUAACGGCCCACCAAGGCAACGAUGGAUAGGGGUUCUGAGANGAAGGUCCCCCACACUGGAACUGAGACACGGUCCAGACUCCUACGGGAGGCAGCAGUGAGGAAUAUUGGUCAAUGGUCGAGAGACUGAACCAGCCAAGUAGCGUGAAGGAUGAAGGUUCUAUGGAUUGUAAACUUCUUUUAUAAGGGAAUAAAACCACCUACGUGUAGGUGCUUGUAUGUACCUUAUGAAUAAGCAUCGGCUAACUCCGUGCCAGCAGCCGCGGUAAUACGGAGGAUGCGAGCGUUAUCCGGAUUUAUUGGGUUUAAAGGGAGCGUAGACGGGAGAUUAAGUCAGUUGUGAAAGUUUGAGGCCCAACCUUAAAAUUGCAGUUGAUACUGGUUUCCUUGAGUGCGGUUGAGGUGUGUGGAAUUCGUGGUGUAGCGGUGAAAUGCUUAGAUAUCACGAAGAACUCCGAUUG
rnacentral:rRNA from 1 species